GAAUCAUCUUCUAAGUGACUAAGAAGCGUCUGUUUAUACAAACACAAGAUACUGCUAACAUAGAUAUCUAUGUAUAGUCUCUGGUAUCUGUUCAGUGGUAUGUACCAAACAACGAUUGUAAGAUCACAAUGUACCUACUAGAUGACUAAUUAUCAUCUAAUGCAAUGAUAGUACGACUUCUUCAUUGUCUCUACUAUGUAGUCUACUAAAUAGAAGUAGUCUUGAAUAUGAGGCUAAAUGUAAUGUGACGGAUAGUCCCUAUGCACCUUAGCCAUCAUCUAUUCAUAACUAUAUUGAA
rnacentral:rRNA from 1 species